UACGUAGGGACCGAGCGUUGUCCGGAAUCAUUGGGCGUAAAGAGCGUGUAGGCGGCUAUUUAAGUCCUGCGUGAAAUCCUGCGGCUCAACCUCGAGCUGUCGGUGGAAACUGUCUGGCUAGAGUCCGGAAGAGGAGAGUGGAAUUCCUGGUGUAGCGGUGAAAUGCGCAGAUAUCAGGAAGAACACCUAUGGCGAAGGCAGCUCUCUGGGACGGUACUGACGCUGAGACGCGAAAGCGUGGGGAGCGAACAGG
rnacentral:rRNA from 1 species